rnacentral:misc_RNA from 1 species
GAUGAAGAACGUAGCGAAAUGCGAUAAGUAGUGUGAAUUGCAGAAUUCAGUGAAUCAUCGAAUCUUUGAACGCACAUUGCGCCCCUUGGUAUCCCGAGGGGCAUGCCUGUCCGAGCGUCAUUUCACCACUCAAGCCUGGCUUGGUGUUGGGCGACGUCCUCUUUGGGGACGCGCCUCGAAACGCUCGGCGGCGUGGCACCGGCUUUAAGCGUAGCAGAAUCUUUCGCUUUGGAAGUCGGGGCCCCGUCUGCCGGAAGACCUGCUCGCAAGGUUGACCUCGGAUCAGGCAGGGAUACCCGCUGAACUUAAGCAUAUCAAUAAGCGGAGGA